rnacentral:snRNA from 1 species
AUAUUUACUUGGCAGAGUGGAUACCAUGAUCAUGAAGGUGAUUUUCCAAGGGUGAGGCUUAUCCAUUGUAUUCUGGAUGUGCUGGCUCCUGCAAUUUUCCCAAAUGUGGGGAAUUCAGUUGCAUAAUUUGUGGCAGUAGGGGACUGAGUUCAUGCUCUGCUCUGG